AGGGUUUGAUUAUGGCUCAGGACGAACGCUGGCGGCGUGCCUAAUACAUGCAAGUUGAGCGCUGAAGGUUGGUACUUGUACCAACUGGAUGAGCAGCGAACGGGUGAGUAACGCGUGGGGAAUCUGCCUUUGAGCGGGGGACAACAUUUGGAAACGAAUGCUAAUACCGCAUAAAAACUUUAAACACAAGUUUUAAGUUUGAAAGAUGCAAUUGCAUCACUCAAAGAUGAUCCCGCGUUGUAUUAGCUAGUUGGUGAGGUAAAGGCUCACCAAGGCGAUGAUACAUAGCCGACCUGAGAGGGUGAUCGGCCACAUUGGGACUGAGACACGGCCCAA
rnacentral:rRNA from 1 species